GGCUGCAACAUCCCCGUGGGUGGGGUCGCUGCUGAGGAGUCUGGCAAAGCCGCCAGGUGUUUCGGUGACGACAGUGCAUCCGCUGCAGCC
rnacentral:sRNA from 12 species